CUUCAGCAUAGUGUAAAAUGCAUCUUCCUCUUCACUUUUUGGUCUUUAGCAUCACAAAAAAGCUGAGGGAUCUAAAGUGGAACUUUUGUUCCUGGUUUUGGGACACUUGAAAGAGAGCAUCUCCCAGUGGCAAAGAUAAAAGCCCACGUCCUUCCUGCAUCCUGUGGCUGUGCAUUCUCAGCCACAAGAGUCAGCAAGUCCCUUUCCAGAGGGAAGUGAUUUGGACAAUCACAUCUCAGACUGAUGCUGCUAAUCUGGCCUUACCCAAGGGAAGUGGGUGAGGUCAGAAGAUGUGGAAAGGACUUGUCUGCUGUCAGGAGGAUGAUGAAAUUGAUGCGUCAAAUAGAGCUGAAUGCUGCUGUAAAGGUAAGGAAAUUGGGACUGCUGUGCUCCUGUUGUUUAAGUGUUUAUUAUAUGCAUUUUUGGUGCUU
rnacentral:lncRNA from 1 species